CCAGCGAUAGAAAAACCGUGCGGCCGCACGUACCAGCGACGAGUCUCUACUCCUAAUGGAGCAGCAGAUCGGUCUCCAUCGCCAACCAGACCUUCGCACGCCCGAUCCAGCCCUACGCCCCCUCCACGGCCGAUCCAUCCCCGUGCCGCGGCCGAUCCAUGCCCUAUGCCGCCGCCGAUGCCUCCUCCUCCACCUCCAUUCCCAAGCGAGGGCGCCCGCGGCCGCGGUCUUCUCCCCCAGCCACCAUGGCUGCAGAUCCACUCACGGCCGGUCGUCUAAGCUGCAAGCAUGGAUGGAUGGAUCCAGGAAGGUAUCCUUCCUCCCUGGGUGGAGCGAGCUGCACAUCCCAUUCGGCCCUCUGUAGUCGGCCAUCUCCGCCUCCUCCUCGCCGUCGCCGCCGCUGGGGAUCGCGUCUUCACCAAGCGCAAGCUCCGCCCCAUCCGACCGACCGCAAAGGGGUUGUCCAUUGUAAAUUUUCAAGGAGAUUCAAAUGUUCCUCUUCUGGAUGAUUGAAGGGAUACUUGAAGCUAGGGCAAUCCAAGUAAGAUAGCUUCAUCCUCAGGCAACAGGUUUAUGUUAUCUUAUCAUGGAGUCAUUUUUAAGUUUGUGCCCAACGCCUUCAUCCUUAGAAUGGCUGCCCAGAUGGCAAGCCACCGUACUCAGGCGACUGCCGCGCUAGCAGGGUGCUCCAACUUUUGAUGCUGGCGAAGCUUUUGGAAUGAUGGCUACAUAAUUUGUUAGUCUCCGUUGGAAGCUUAAUUAAACUGAGCUUCUCUGAAGGUUCAGAUGUGUGGCAAAGGAUUUCAAUUUUCCUGUUUACACAAAGGAAACUUGAGGAAGGUUCAGAUUUCUCAUGCUCGGUGCUGUGCUCUCAAGGUUACAUAGACAAAAAUGCCUCCUAUUUACACAAUGGCAACCCGACGAAGGUUCAGAUUUCUCAUGACUGGUUCAAUGGGAUGACGGGGCGGGUCGGGAGGCGGGGAAAGCCGUCCAUGGCGAUCCUGGUGGCGUUGCUAAUGGCGUUAGUGGCACUGCCUCUCCUCAUGGUGCCCGACAUGCUCUCUAUGCCAGGCUCCAACGGCGUGGAUCGCGGCGCCGCCCUGUCGCUCCCACGCCCGUGCUUCAGCAGAUCCGUGUUUGAGUCGUGCAUACCUUUAGCCGCCUCCCCUCCAAUGUCCACGACUCUGAUAUACCGUGUUUGUUAGUCUUGACUGGUGUUUGUUCUCCGUAUUGUUGUGCAGGAGGCUGGAGAACAGCAGGGAGAAAAGGGAGUCGUGGAUGGAGACUUGUCCUACAUGGCCGAGCGAGAUCGAGGCUAGCCGCCGGUAAUGUUCUUCUCUCGUGCAAGUUCCGCACUGCAUUGAAGCAUCCAACACAUGAUGUAGCUACGUUACAGGUGGGACAUCAGCCAAGUAUGUUUCGAGGUGAGACAUCCAUCAAGUUUGUUUGGAGAAAUUGUGCAGUCCAGCUCCUGCGUGCUGGUCACCGAGCUCCACUGUGUCCAGCUCAUCCGACCAUGUGCUCCACUACAUCUAGGUCAGCCGAUCUUGUGGCAGAGCUACACUGACGCAAGAGCAAAUAGUUUUACAAUUUCUUUGUUGUUCCUUUGUACUGGAUAACUGUGCAUUUUUAGAGGUGUGAAGAUGUAAUGCAAUAACAGUAACUGGGCGUAGGCACAUCCGUCUCGAUAAGAAUUAUGGGAACGGACAAAGGCAAGGCAUUCCAAUGUAAGAAAUGGAUGAAGGCAAGGUAUGUCAUUCUAAAAAAGACAAGGCAUACCAGGAUGCUGCAUUGCUUAAUGUCCAGUUCUCUACGCUUUCCCUAUAGCAACCUUUUUUAGAUCUUAUGAGUUGUGUUUUCCUAACAAAAAAAUGUCCAUAUGGAUUCACUGAAACAAGAUUAUAUUAUCAGCAAUUCUGUUUGCAUGUAAUUAAUUAGUGAUAGCCUAUGCCUCACACGACUGUUUUUCCAGUUCAGUUGUAUCCUUCAAUAUGGGUGCAAUGAAGUGUGGAUAGACAAACACAUUUCUUUUACUGUGAUAUCAUUGACCUUGUUGAUUUAUAUUUUCAAAACUGAUAGGAAUGAAAUCCAUAUGAAUCUUGUGAUGCCAAAGCUCUAAGUGCUGAUGAUUUAAAUUCCUAUUAAAAAAAUCCUUAAAUAGAAAGUGGACCUUAUAGCGGAGAAUAAUGUGUAAGCUACAGGUGGAGUCCAUCUCAAGGGAAGUGAAACCGAAAACAUAGACCACAUUAGAGUCGAAGAUAAGGUGAAUGCAAUCACAGAUCCACAUGAGAGUCAGAUAAGAUUGGUGAAUGCAAUCAGAACUGUCAAAUGUGUGUUUUCCAAUUUUUCAUGUCGCAUGAUCUCUGCCCACUUUACUAGAAGAAGAGCCUUCCUACAUGGUGAAGGUGGAUAAGGAGCCAUUCAACUUAGAGGAAGUGUCUCAAUAAUGUGUGUGUUACCAAGGUUGAAUUGUCUACUCGCUCUCUUGGAGGUUAUGUUCCUUCCCGUCUAUUAAGCUGUUAGUAUCCUUAUCACCGUGUCUGGCUCCACUGAAAAGCUCACACCGCCAUGCUUGAAGAACAUAAAUGGUGGUACAUUAUUCUGAUAUAUUUUAUGUGCCGCCAUUGUGGUAGAGCCCGGCAUGAAUGGUGGGUCCAGUAUAUAAGCAGGUGGUACUAGCACUAAGAUAGGAAGGUCAUUUCCGCCCUUGUCCUUUGUUGAUGGCCUGCCAAGGCGGCGUCGAUUACUGGUUCAAUUUGAACACGAGUUAGUGGAUUUUAUUAUAAAAGUGAGGUUUAAGAGUGGGUGAUGGUUAUUUGGGUUGAUAUGUUCAGUUAUGGCCGUCUGAGCGAAAUAAUUUCCAUACCUUAGAAAAUAUGGCAAAGUGCAUUUAAUUAGAGAUGUCAUUGCAGCAAAUUGCAUGAGUGAGCGGUUCAUAUUUUUUCAUUAAGUCAUACAUUUUUUUUGGUUAGGAUGAAAGGGUAUAUGCAUUGGGGGGUUGUUUCAAGAGUUAAUAAUGGACACGGUGGUGUAUCAGUUGCAUGCCAACAACUAUAUCAUAUUUUUGUUUCAUCGUAAUACACGACAUUCAUUUCUGUGUUACAACAUGGCAAUGGAUCAGGAGACGUCGGAUCCUCCUUCUUGGCUCAGGGGUGUCAUGGGAGGCGCAUGCCUCGCCCCCCUUGGUGGCGGUGGGAUCGGCGUGAGCACGGGAAGGGAGGAUUAGGGCAGAGAGUAGGGCGGUUGGUGGUGGACUCUUUAUUAGCGGUCCGUGGGGAAGUACGGUGCGAAGGAGAGAUGUGUCAUUGCGAUGGUGAUGCGGGCGUCAUCUACCUUUAAAGGAGAGUGCUCCAGUGAGAAAUGUCCUGCUACAACAAGAAAUCAAGCAGGAAGGGAGGGUCCUGCAGGAAAAGGGAAGGGUGCGUCAUGGGGUGGAAUUUUUUGUUGGGACUUUGGACCGCCUGUUUAAGAUAACAUGACAGAUAGUACGGACAACCAUAUGUCUCCCCCAUGGGCUGGAUUUGGGGGUGGAUGGACUGUCCAGAUGGUUGGAUUUUGGAUAGCCCGUUAGGGGCUUGUUUGAUGCUCAAACACGCCCGGAUGUAAGAGAAAUGAAUUUCAACCUUGGAAACGGCCUUAAUCGUUUAUUUGAUUUAUUUAUAUGCACUAUAGCUCGUAUCAUACAUAAAGAAGCACUCGAAAUAAAGCAAACACGGCUGAACUUAAUCAUUUGUUUGAUUCAUUUAUACAUAUUGUAGCCCGUACCAUACAUACAGAAGCACUCGAAAUAAAGCAAGCCGAUUGGGAUUUCCGAUAUAUCUGAACAACAACGUUUAUAUCUGUAUGGUAUUCCAAUGAGUAUAGGCGGGUAACAAAUUCGGAAUACAAACAUUUAUUUUUGUCAUCACUAUAUAAUAUAAUAUUAAUUUUGGAAAUUGCGGGGAUGUGCCUCGCUAUUUUGGUUUUCAUUUUAUGCUCUGGUGGAACAGUAAAGAACCGGUUAAGCCGCUUUGCGCGAUGCGUAUUGUCUGUUAAAUGUUUGAAGACCUUGGAUGUGAAGUACUCGUGCUAACUACAUUUCUUUGCUUGUGUGGGAUGAGUAUGAAUUGAGGAGCAGUUUUUAUUAUAUUUUCUAAAACAUGGUGCAAAUGAAGCUAAAGAAUCUUUUCCAUUGGGCGAGAAUUUCUUAAGCGCAUCAAGUAGUAGAUCUUAAUAAUUUGUAAUGGAUUUUUAAUUGGAUCAUUGCUCUAUAUGUAUACAACAUCAAUUUGCAUUUUUGUUAUCAAUUAUUGUAAGUGAAGUGGACUUCAAUUAUAUCUAUAUGUAUACAUCAUCAAUUUGCAUUUUUGUUAUCAAUUAUUGUAAGUGAAGUGGACUUCAAUUAUUAUGCAAUUGUGUUUGUGCUAUAUUGUCUCUACAUGUGAAAUUUAAUAUGCAUUAAUUUUAUAUAACACCAGCAAAAUAUUUCAAAAGCCCGUAGCAACGCACGGGCAGUCUACUAGUCCCAGUAGGUGUACUACAAGCAAGCUUUCGGAAAUUAAGUUUCAAGGUCGUGCUGCAAAUAUAGCUAGAGAACUUCUUUCUGUCUAUUUUUCUGCACAUGUAGACUGAAAGUGAAGUAACGCUUCUAGAGUUUAAUAGUUUUAACUAGUGAAUGUGUUAGUUUUAUGAAAAUAGAUAUAUGGGGUUUGAUCUGGAAUUUUCUUCUGUAAUUUUCUAUUGCCAGUUUGCCACUGCUCCCAGUCAUGUGAUUCAGGAAUUUAAUUAUCAGUAGUUGUCUAUCAUAGUAGAAAUCCCUUCAAGUGUUGCAACCUUUAUUAUUGAAUUGAAAAACAUUUGCCUGAUAAUUUAAUUUUCUAGAGUAAAAUGAGAGCAAUUGGGUUUUGUACUGUCGCCCCUACUGGAAAUUGUAUGGCAUCAUGACUUAUUGAAUUACCAGAUCCCCUGUUCUUAAAACUGUUUUUAUUUAGCUUAAUGCUUAAGAACAAAUUCAACCAAAGUUAUGUUCACGGAGAUGGUAAAUAUCUUAAGAUGUGCCUGUGGUUCAGAUUUUAGAAAAUACCUACUCGCAGUGUCACAUGCAAGUAAUAUGACCCUGGCAGUACAGUACCUUGUCAUGCAGGGCCACGAGUAAUAUAAGACUAUUGUUUUGUUGCUGAUAAUUAGAACGUUUGGAUGCUCGUUGUUUAGGUUCUGCGUCCAGUUUGGUAGUAGUGCUGGUGUGUGUGGCUUAGUUACUGAUGUUUUGAGGUACCCCUGGAGGGGGACGAACUUGAGAUAUGUGAUGUUUUCAGUAAUGGAAAUUGGGAGAUAUGCUCCUAAGUAGAUUAAAAAAAGAAUUGGGUCAUGGGGCUAGCUGACGACCAUGCUCUUUUCUCCUAUAUGUAAUUCUUACAAACUAUUCCCUAAUUUUCAUUUGAUGCUUUCACUAAAAUAAUAUUUUGGAUUGUUUGUUUUGUGAUCAGUGUGCAUCUUGUUUGUCCUCUCCACCAAGCAGCGUCGACUACUCCAUACAAGCACAUAAGCUUAUGCCCUUAUGAAGUUAUGAUUAUAUAUUUACCAAUGACUAUUAUGGUUGAUAGCUUUAAAGUCUUUGCUUCUAUAUGCAGCUGAGAAUGACUUAUAAGUUCAUGGCAAAAGCAGCAACAUCAGUACGUAACCACAAGCAAGCUGAGGGGGUAAUAAUCUUGGUAUUUAAGUCUUAGAUUCAGUAUUUUGCUUUUUGGAUACAUGAACAUUGAAACUUGUUUAGCAUUUCGUUUCUUAUAUGCUUCAUGCCAAUAAAACUGCAGUAAAAUAUGAGCCGAGAUUUUGCUUGGCAUGUGUAUGUAUGCAUGCCCUGAAUUUGCUUAGCAUUUUUAUGCAUACAACUAUUGGAAGCUUUUACAUGUCCUGGAACUGAGCUUUUGCAUGCCCUGUGUUUUCUGAAGCUGAGUCUUUUGUUAUUGGCUAGUACUUGAAACAGAGUCGCAGGCCUCCUGCCAUAUAACCAUUUAUGAAGUGCAUAUGUGAUGCCUUAUCUUGUAUUCCUACAAAGAGUCCAGUAUUUUUUUCAUGUGUAAAAAGUGGCUGACCUGGCAUUACACUGUUAAGUGUUUUGUACGCAUUAUGAAUCUUGUUGUAGAUACACACUGAGCUGAAAAUGUUGCUAGCAGAAAUAGGUUUUCUGUUAGCUACGCAUCUGGUUUAAAACAUGGUAUGACUACUUGCUUUGGAAUAGUAACGCCUUGAUAUUAUCUGAUCCUAUCUCAUGCAUAUUUUAGUUAUUUCCAGACAAAGCUUUAGGAACCGAGUUCACUACAACUCGAAGUCUUGUGCAUGGAGGAGAAUUGAGAUAUUUGCGCAUUCUGUACUAGUCAAAAGGUUGGCAUCCUGGUUGGAAGAUCUUGUGUGCUACUCUCUACACGAUGUUCCUUCUACAUGAUAGCACUUGACGUCUACAUGAUAGCACUUGAAGUCUACAUGAUGUUUCUUGUAUUCAUAGCUCAAACCAUUUGUUUAUCUUAGUUUGAACAAAAAAUAUUAUUGUCUUACAUGUAAAUAAUGUUUACUAAUGUAGCUGGAUGCUACUGAACACAUGUACGAAAGUCAAAAUACUAAGUGUUAGUCAUUAUGUGUUUGAGAA